rnacentral:misc_RNA from 1 species
AUGUUCUAAUCUAAUAAUUUUCAUAAUUCCGCUCCUUCACUAAGCACUAGCACCAAUACAACAAAAAGCGCUCCAAAAUGCUCUUUUAUUGAACCAUAGUAUGAAAUGGCUAACAAACCAAAGGAGACGCAUCAAAAACUUCUUCCAUAAGGCAAUCCUAUAUUCCAGUGUGUUGAGAAAAUUGUAUCAAGAAAAAACUAUUACACCUUUUAACUGCUUUUGAUUAUCAUUUACCAAGGAACUGCAAACAAGGUGUUCUGUUUAUGUUCAUGCCCCAAA